ensembl:ncRNA T25F10.10 ncRNA
UCAUGUCAAUUUACAUUAGGUACAACUCAAUGAAUAUAAAUAUAGUUUACAAAUAGUUUCAGGUAGGUUAAGUAGAUACUGAUUUUUAUUCGCUUCUAAGGAUUUUGGAUUCCAAGUCUGAGUUUUCAUUGUUUAAUAGUACACCAAAAAUAGAUAUUUUAGUUUGUAAAAUGCAACUAGAUUG